rnacentral:lncRNA from 1 species
AAUGAUCAUGUUGUAGAUGAACUCAAAGGGAUCUGGAAUGAUGUAUCAGAUGAAGUUUCAAAUUGCAAGCACUUGGUUUCACAAAAGUUGACAUUGGCCAAGUCCUUUAGCAUAGGAAUGUUGCCUAAAUUCUAAGUCCAUUUGUCCAAGAUCAAGCCAACAACCCACACAAAAGUUUUUUAGGGUUUUUUGUUGUUAUUAUGUAAAUUAAUGGUCAAAC